rnacentral:piRNA from 1 species
AGAUUUGUGUUCAGCCUGAAUGUC